rnacentral:rRNA from 1 species
AGAUUGAACGCUGGCGGCAUGCUUUACACAUGCAAGUCGAACGGCAGCACGGGGGGCAACCCUGGUGGCGAGUGGCGAACGGGCGAGUAAUGCAUCGGAACGUAUCCUUGAGUGGGGGAUAACGCAGCGAAAGUUGUGCUAAUACCGCAUAUGCCCUACGGGGUAAAGCGGGGGAUCGGUAAGACCUCGCGCUGGUGGAGUGAGCCUACGUCCGAUUAGUUAGUUGGUGGGUAAGGCCUACCAAGGCUACGAUCGGUAGCUGGUCUGAGAGGACGACCAGCCACACUGGGACUGAGACACGGCCCAGACUCCUACGGGACGGCAGC